ACGCAAUAGAUACCCAGGUAGUCCGAGCCGUAAACGAUGGAUACUAGGUGUUGUGGGUAUCGACCCCACAGUGCCGUAGCUAAACGCGUUAAGUAUCCCGCCUGGGGAGUACGGUCGCAAGACUGAAACUCAAAGGAAUUGACGGGGGCCCGCACAAGCGGUGGAGCAUGUGGUUUAAAUUCGAUGCAACGCGAAGAACCUUACCAAGGCUUGACAUCCCUGGAAGUCGGUGGAAACACUGAUGUGCCGCAAGGAACCAGGAGACAGGUGGUGCAUGGCUGUCGUCAGCUCGUGUCGUGAGAUGUUGGGUUAAGUCCCGCAACGAGCGCAACCCUCGAUGCCAGUUGCCAACGGGUAAAGCCGGGCACUCUGGCGUGACUGCCGGUGACAAACCGGAGGAAGGUGGGGAUGACGUCAAGUCAUCAUGCCCCUUAUGCCUUGGGCUACACACGUGCUACAAUGGCCGGGACAGUAGGCAGCAAAACCGCGAGGUGGAGCCAAUCCUCAAACCC
rnacentral:rRNA from 1 species